AUUGAACGCUGGCGGCAUGCCUUACACAUGCAAGUCGAACGGCAGCACGGGGCAACCUGGUGGCGAGUGGCGAACGGGUGAGUAAUGCAUCGGAACGUACCUUUCAGUGGGGGAUAACGUAGCGAAAGUUACGCUAAUACCGCAUAUUCUGUGAGCGGGAGAGCAGGGGAUCGCAAGACCUUGCGCUGAUUGAGCGGCCGAUGUCAGAUUAGCUAGUUGGUGAGGUAAAGGCUCACCAAGGCGACGAUCUGUAGCGGGUCUGAGAGGAUGAUUCGCCACACUGGCACUGAGACACGGUCCAGACUCCUACGGGAGACAGCAGUGGGGAAUUUUGGACAAUGGGGGCAACCCUGAUCCAGCCAUGCCGCGUGAGUGAAGAAGGCCUUCGGGUUGUAAAGCUCUUUCGGCCGGGAAGAAAUCGCACGGGCUAAUACCCUGUGUGGAUGACGGUACCGGAAUAAGAAGCACCGGCUAACUACGUGCCAGCCGCCGCAGUAACAC
rnacentral:rRNA from 1 species